AACGAACGCUGGCGGCAUGCCUAACACAUGCAAGUCGAACGAGACCUUCGGGUCUAGUGGCGCACGGGUGCGUAACGCGUGGGAAUCUGCCCUUGGGUUCGGAAUAACAGUUGGAAACGACUGCUAAUACCGGAUGAUGACGUAAGUCCAAAGAUUUAUCGCCCAAGGAUGAGCCCGCGUAGGAUUAGCUAGUUGGUGAGGUAAAGGCUCACCAAGGCGACGAUCCUUAGCUGGUCUGAGAGGAUGAUCAGCCACACUGGGACUGAGACACGGCCCAGACUCAUACGGGAGGCAGCAGUGGGGAAUAUUGGACAAUGGGCGAAAGCCUGAUCCAGCAAUGCCGCGUGAGUGAUGAAGGCCUUAGGGUUGUAAAGCUCUUUUACCCGGGAUGAUAAUGACAGUACCGGGAGAAUAAGCUCCGGCUAACUCCGUG
rnacentral:rRNA from 1 species